rnacentral:rRNA from 1 species
UACGUAGGGGGCAAGCGUUAUCCGGAUUCACUAGGCGUAAAGGGAGCGCAGGCGGCACGGCAAGUCUGGUGUGAAAACCCGGGGCUCAACCCCGGGACUGCAUUGGAAACUGCCGGGCUGGAGUGUCGGAGGGGUAAGCGGAAUUCCUAGUGUAGCGGUGAAAUGCGUAGAUAUUAGGAGGAACACCAGUGGCGAAGGCGGCUUACUGGACGAUGACUGACGCUGAGGCUCGAAAGCGUGGGGAGCAAACAGG